rnacentral:lncRNA from 1 species
GGUUUAUCUGCUGGAUAAUAGCUAGAUAAUUAAUGUUAGAAUGGUGCUGGAGAGUGUUUCUGCAAAUAUCGUUAGGGGUCUUUUAGUCACAUAUUGCAUUCGUGCAGGCUUUUACUUAACAUUGAGUUGAUUAUUUACUUAUUUAUUUUUCUGUAAAAUAUGUAAAGAUGCUUCCGCACUUCUUGGAGAGGAAAAGAAUUGUGACUAGUGCUAUUUUAAGCUUAAAGAAGCCUGCUAUCAUAAGAAAAUCCUAAUAGAUAAUUGUGUCCCUGCACUUGCAGGUGUACCGAAGUCUGUUAACUCCCACCUGGGAAGCUGUUUUGGGUGCCCUACAGAAAAACAGAAGUCUGGCAUUGCUUCCUGUGAGAGCCGAAAGCCUGGAACUGGAGCCAAAGGUCCAUUCUGUCAGAGGAGUGUCCUCCAGGUGCAGUGUGUGGAAAUGAAGGAGGGGAAUUGUCACCUCAGAAACCCUGCCUGGCCAGGCUGGGAUGCCCAGGCUUGUUGGACAGACGGUGGUAAGCAGCUCACUGCAGCCAGGACUCGUCUGUGGGACUCUGGCAUGUCUCUGGAGAGAGGGGGCUGGGCAGGAGCCUGUACACAGUCACAGUAGCUCUGAUCUAUUAUGGGCGACGGCUCACUGAACUGUCACAGCUCUAUGGCAACAGAGUGCAUGGCAUCCAUGUCUAAAGCAAACACACCGGC